GCAAUCACAUCAUGUUGAAACACCAGUUCUUAUAUGAUCAUCGAAGUUAAGCAAUGUUGAGUGUGGUUAUUACUUAGAUGGAUGACUGCUUGGGAAUACCAGGUACU